rnacentral:rRNA from 1 species
AAAACUUUCAACGAAGGAUCUCUUGGUUCUCGCAUCGAUGAAGAACGCAGCAAAGCGCGAUAGGUAAUGUGAAUUGCAGACGUGAAUCAUUGAAUUUUUGAACGCACAUUGCACCUUCCUUUCGGAAGGUAUACCUGUGCGAGCGUCAUUUCUCUCUC